rnacentral:rRNA from 1 species
AGUGAACGCUGGCGGUAGGCCUAACACAUGCAAGUCGAACGGCAGCACAGUAAGAGCUUGCUCUUACGGGUGGCGAGUGGCGGACGGGUGAGGAAUACAUCGGAAUCUACUUUUUCGUGGGGGAUAACGUAGGGAAACUUACGCUAAUACCGCAUACGACCUACGGGUGAAAGCAGGGGAUCUUCGGACCUUUCGCGAUUGAAUGAGCCGAUGUCGGAUUAGCUAGUUGGCGGGGUAAAGGCCCACCAAGGCGACGAUCCGUAGCUGGUCUGAGAGGAUGAUCAGCCACACUGGAACUGAGACACGGUCCAGACUCCUACGGGAGGCAGCAGUGGGGAAUAUUGGGCAAUGGGCGCAAGCCUGAUACAGCCAUACCGCGUGGGUGAAGAAGGCCUUCGGGUUGUAAAGCCCUUUUGUUGGGAAAGAAAAACAGCAGGUUAAUACCCCGCUGUUCUGACGGUACCCAAAGAAUAAGCACCGGCUAACUUCGUG